rnacentral:rRNA from 1 species
AGGGUUCGAUUCUGGCUCAGGAUGAACGCUGGCGGCGUGCUUAACACAUGCAAGUCGAACGGGAUCCAGGCAGCUUGCUGCCUGGUGAGAGUGGCGAACGGGGGAGUAAUGCGUGACCGACCUGCCCCAUACACCGGAAUAGCUCCUGGAAACGGGUGGUAAUGCCGGAUGCUCCAGUUGAUCGCAUGGUCUUCUGGGAAAGCUUUCGCGGUAUGGGAUGGGGUCGCGUCCUAUCAGCUUGACGGCGGGGUAACGGCCCACCGUGGCUUCGACGGGUAGCCGGCCUGAGAGGGCGACCGGCCACAUUGGGACUGAGAUACGGCCCAGACUCCUACGGGAGGCAGCAGUGGGGAAUAUUGCACAAUGGGCGCAAGCCUGAUGCAGCGACGCCGCGUGCGGGAUGACGGCCUUCGGGUUGUAAACCGCUUUUGAUCGGGAGCAAGCCUUCGGGUGAGUGUACCUUUCGAAUAAGCACCGGCUAACUACGUGCCAGCAGCCGCGGUAAUACGUAGGGUGCAAGCGUUAUCCGGAAUUAUUGGGCGUAAAGGGCUCGUAGGCGGUUCGUCGCGUCCGGUGUGAAAGUCCAUCGCUUAACGGUGGAUCUGCGCCGGGUACGGGCGGGCUGGAGUGCGGUAGGGGAGACUGGAAUUCCCGGUGUAACGGUGGAAUGUGUAGAUAUCGGGAAGAACACCAAUGGCGAAGGCAGGUCUCUGGGCCGUUACUGACGCUGAGGAGCGAAAGCGUGGGGAGCGAACAGGAUUAGAUACCCUGGUAGUCCACGCCGUAAACGGUGGAUGCUGGAUGUGGGGCCCGUUCCACGGGUUCCGUGUCGGAGCUAACGCGUUAAGCAUCCCGCCUGGGGAGUACGGCCGCAAGGCUAAAACUCAAAGAAAUUGACGGGGGCCCGCACAAGCGGCGGAGCAUGCGGAUUAAUUCGAUGCAACGCGAAGAACCUUACCUGGGCUUGACAUGUUCCCGACGAUCCCAGAGAUGGGGUUUCCCUUCGGGGCGGGUUCACAGGUGGUGCAUGGUCGUCGUCAGCUCGUGUCGUGAGAUGUUGGGUUAAGUCCCGCAACGAGCGCAACCCUCGCCCUGUGUUGCCAGCACGUCAUGGUGGGAACUCACGGGGGACCGCCGGGGUCAACUCGGAGGAAGGUGGGGAUGACGUCAGAUCAUCAUGCCCCUUACGUCCAGGGCUUCACGCAUGCUACAAUGGCCGGUACAACGGGAUGCGACAUGGCGACAUGGAGCGGAUCCCUGAAAACCGGUCUCAGUUCGGAUUGGAGUCUGCAACCCGACUCCAUGAAGGCGGAGUCGCUAGUAAUCGCGGAUCAGCAACGCCGCGGUGAAUGCGUUCCCGGGCCUUGUACACACCGCCCGUCAAGUCAUGAAAGUGGGUAGCACCCGAAGCCGGUGGCCUAACCCCUUGUGGGAUGGAGCCGUCUAAGGUGAGACUCGUGAUUGGGACUAAGUCGUAACAAGGUAGCCGUACCGGAAGGUGCGGCUG